UUAUAUAUGGUGUAUAGCACGUUAGAUUUUCAUUUUAAAGGAGUAUUUAUACU
rnacentral:tRNA from 1 species